AUCAGCUUAUAGCCUUAUAGUGGUUCCCAGGCUAGGGGGCUAAUUGGAGCUACAGCUGCUGGCCUACACCAGAGCCACAGCAAUGUGGGAUCCAAGCCGAGUUUGCAACCUACACCACAGCUCACCGCAACGCUGGACCCUUAACCCACUGAGAAAGGCCAGGGAUUGAACCCGCAACCUCAUGGUUCCCAGCUGGAUUCGUUAACCACUGAGCCAUGAUGAGAACUCUGAUAGCUGUUUCCCUUAGAUUUGAAAAGUUUUCAGCCAUAAUUUCUUCAAAUAUAUUUUCAAUCCCCUUUCCUUUUUCUUCUCCUUCUGGAAUCCCUAUUAUGCAUAGAUUGGCCUGCUUUAUAUUAUCCCAUAGGUCUCAUAUUGCUUUCAUGUUUUUUUCAUUUGGUUUUCUGUCUACUGUCCUCAUUGUGUGAUUUCCAUUAUUCUAUCUUCUAAGUCACUAAUUCACUCCUUUGCAUUAUUCAUUCGGCUCUUCAGUGCUUUAACUCAGCUUGUGUCUCUGCAAACGAAUUUUCUAAUUUUUCUUGACUCCACCUUAUAUUUUCUAGUUCCUCUCUAAAGUAAUCUGCAUUACUAUUCAUUUCUGCUCAUAAUUCCUUCAUAUUCAUUCUUAAUUCCUUUAGUAUUUUCACUGUCUCCUUUUUGAAUUCGGUGUCUGUUAGACUGCAGAAGUCUGUUUCAUUGUUUGCUCCUUCAAGGGAAUUUUCCUGUUCUUUUAACUGGGAAUGGUUCCUGAGCUUCUUCAUUUUGCUUAUAUUUUUCUUAUUCUGUGAGUUUAAGGAAAACAACAACUGUAGUCUUGAAGGGCUGUUUAUGUACAAGAGUGCCCCUGGGUAUUUUGUGAGGGCCUACUAUUUAUUUUCGGUGUAAGGGCUGCUUUUGGUUUGGAUGCUUGCUGUCUCUUUCCUCAGUGUGUGCAGACUCUUAUUCCCUUGAUAGGGUGCUUUGCAUGCUUCGAGGGAGAUGGAGGUAAUGGGCAGGGCCAGUAGCCAGUGCCUGAUUGAUGGGCUCUUGACCAUGGCAAGGACCCAUGGAAAGAUGGCACAAGCUGCUCCUAGUUGCAGGAUCCUGGGAUUUGGCAGGGACCCUCAGGUAUGUUUAGGCGGCACCCGUAGUACUUGGCAGAGGCAGCAGCAGGGUAUGUGUGUUUGCGUUCCCAGGGGAGUGAGAGCAACAAUGGGUGGUGCUCAGUUGCAGUGCCCUCCUCUGUGGGGCCACAGGUGGUGCCUGUUCAUGGACCCCUAGUGGUGGCCUACCUCUGGAGACUGCCUCCACCACCUAUACACCAUGCAAAAGGCAUCCCAUCCCGCUUAGCCUGCACAGUAGGUGCCCAGCCACCUGUAGUCCACAUAAGAGGGGCCUUUCACCUGUAGCCUCCACCAGAGGUGCCCCACCUUCCAAGAGUCCACACAUGUGCAGAGAAAGAUAUUCCUAUGGUGGUCUAGCCCUCCUCCUCUUGCCCUCCCCAACAAUGGGGCCUUGCUUCUCCUGUGGGCCCAGACCUCCUCCUGGGUUCCCUCAGCUGUGGUGCUCCACUCCUUAGCCCUUGGUGCACUGCUCCCUAGGCCCUCAGGCUAUCUCCACAGCCAACCAUAGUCCUCUCCCCAGAACUGACGUCCAGAGCCUGGGUCUCAGAGCCCAGCCCCCAACUGUCUCAGGCUAUGAUGUCAAGGGGCAGUAGUACCAAUGCUCUGUGCGGCUCUCUCUCUGCUUUGCCCUCCUCAGUCCAACUACUGCACUUUUCUCUGAGGCUUCGAGGUCCCUCUAUCUUGGCUAAUCUCCCCAUCAGUUAGGUGGCUUCCUUGGGUUCCUUUCCUCUUUCACAGCACCCUCUCUCUCUUUUUUUCCUUUUGUUCUACCCAGUUAUAUGGAGGAUUUUUGGCCCUUUUUGGAGGUUUAAGGUCUUCUGCCAGUGUUCAGGAGAUGUUCUGUAUGAAUAAUUCUACAUGCAGAUUUUUUUUUUUUUUUAUGUUUGUGGGAGAAGCUGAGUACCACGUCUUAUUCCUUUGCCAUCUUGAUCCUGCUCUGUGUGUCUAGUUUUUUGUUUUUGUUUUUUACUCUUUGGCCGCCUUGUGGCAUAUGGAGUUCCCAGUCUAGGGAUCAGAUCCAAGCCACAACAGCAACCUAUGCUGCAGCUGUGGCAAUGCUGGAUCCUUAACUGACUGUGCCGGACUGGGAAUCAAACCUGAGUCCUGGCCCUGUAAAGAUGCCACUGAUAGUUUUGUAUACUGAUUUUUCCACUUGAAGUUUUUCACUUGCUAUGGUGUCUUGAGCAUUUUCUUAACGUGAUUUUUUUUUUUCCUUUGAGUGAUUUUGGAGUUAUAUAUCCUGGUUUUGUUCCACUGAUAGUUUUACCCUUAUGACUAAAAACAAAAAAGAAACAUGUCCCUUUGAUUAGCAAUACUAAGAAUGAAACAGUAACUUCUGGCUCUUUCCUCCAGUGUGAAAUGUGAAAUUGCAGAUAUAAUCUGAGAUUUUAGACUCAUAGAAUUAUCAGUGUUUUAAUUAUGUAUAUUAUAUUACAAGAAAGUUGUUUGGCAUUUACUUAAUAAUUUAAAAUCAUGGCUACAAUAAUAUUUUUUCCCUGUUUAAUUUGUUCAUUGCUUACUUUUUGGUACCAUGGCCUUUUCAUUUUGAACUCUUCAUCUCUUAGAUAUUUAGACUUUGCUAGAACAGUAGCCACUGGCCACAGGUGGCUAUUUAAAUCUAAAUUAAAUCUAAAUUAACUAAACAUAAGUAAAACUAAAAAUAUCAGUUCCUCAAUUGCACUUGCUACAUAUCAGCUGCUCAGUAGCCAAAGUGACUCUUGUAUUCGAUGAUGCAUAAAGCUCUAGCAGAUAAUGAUCCAGAAUAUAAUGCUAAGUGAAUUUCUUAGGAAGGGUAUUUUGAUACUGCACUAACUGAGACCCUCCAGGUUUGCAUAUGUGUCUGUCUUGUUUCAUAUAAACUCAGCUGUGGGCUUGAGAUUCUAGGCUCAUACUUCUCUUCCUUCCUCUUUUUCUCAAUUCAGCCUCUAGAAGGUCUACCCUUAUCGUCUGGUCUUCAGUUUUAUGGAGGAGAAGUCUGAUGCCAGCCUGAUAUAUUUCUUUUAUAACCCAUUCCUCCUGCUGCCUGCCUGGAUGUUUGUGGGAUAGUUUUCUCGGUUCUCAAAAAUGUUACUAGAUAAUUUCAAGGUUUUCGACUUUUUAAUAAUUUUGCCUGAUAUGUAGUGAACCCUUUUAAUCUAUAGAUUCAGGCCUUGGGAAGGUUUUUCUAUUGUCAUUGCUUCUACUCCAUCUGUUUUAUUCUAUCACACUAGGGUUUGUGUUACAAAUAUACUGGCCCCCUGAUCUGUUUCAUCUCUUUUAUUGUGUCAUCUGUCACUGACUUCAUUACGGUUUUAAAUUCAGCAUUUAUUUAUCUUAAAAAAUUGCCAUGUAUUUUUUCCUUAUCACUCAUUGUUUUAUUUUCAUUACAUCUAUAAAUCUGGCUUAUAGGCAUAGUGACUUUUUGGAUGUUGUUGAAAAUAUGAUUAGAAGUUUUCUAAACAUUUGCUCUUUCAUAGUAAGUCAACAUCAAAGGGAGCCAUUUUCUCUAGUCCUUCAAGAUGUUUUUUUCUUUUUGAACAUUAGUGUUUUCUCAUAGGUCAUGUAUAUUUUUGUGUUCAGUUUGCCUAGAUUCAAAUCCUAACUUCACUGCUUUCUUACUAGCUGUUUGACUUUGGGUCUUAGUUUUCUCAGCUGUAAAAGGGGAAUAAUAAUAAUACCUAUAUCACAGAGUUUAUAUGAGGAAUAAAAGAAUGAAUAUUUGAAAAGAGUUUAGGAUAAUACCUCAAAGGUAUCUACACACCAUAUGUUUUAUAAAUAAAAUUAAUUUUUUUUCUUUAAGGAAGUUCUAUUGCUCUCCCUUCUUGCAACUGCCUCUGGUCAGAAAAACUCCUAGGCAUGACCAUUUGCUUGGGUUGAUAAUUCAUUCUUGAAACUCCAAAUUAGGCAAGGUUUGUAGGAGUUCUUGCAGGAUCUUUUCCAUUUCCUUCCUUCCCUGGAUCGGAGUCCAGUGAUAAUUUCUAUGAGAAGCCUUAUGGAGGAAGGAGAGAGGAGUUAGCAUCCCCCCCUCAAAAAAAAAAAAGAUGUUAUGUCCCUUAUCUCCUUACCUUGUUACAGAAUGCUGUAUAUGUGUGUGUUUGUGUAACAUAGUAGUUCUGCAUUGCUUGUCAGCUAAAAAAUUGAAAGAUUUAAUCUUUUACCCCCUCCCUUUCUGUUUUAACAAAUAGAAAAAACUUUUUUUAAUUGGUAGAAAUAUUUUAGUUUUAUAUCCUAGAUGUUAGGUGGGCUGCUCAGGCCUUUUGAACUCUAAGAUCUACUCCCCACAUUUGGAAGCCUAAACAACUCAAGGUCUAGGUAAUUCUCAAGGGGCGUGCAUUCCCAGGUUUACUUUUCCUUCCAGGAUCUCCUGCCUCCAUGUGUGCUCUCCAUAGGCGAAAACUAGCGGUUUCUGAAUGGGGUGAUUUUGUCCCUCAGGUGACAUUUGGCAACACUUGGAGACGUUUCUUUAUUGUCAUAACUGGGGAGGAUGCUAUCGG
ensembl:lncRNA